rnacentral:rRNA from 1 species
ACGGGUGAGUAACGCGUGGGUAACCUGCCGUAUACAGGGGGAUAACAGUUGGAAACAACUGCUAAUACCGCAUAAGCGCACACUGUCGCAUGACAGAGUGUGAAAAUUUUCCGGAGGUAUACGAUGGACCCGCGUCUGAUUAGCCAGUUGGCAGGGUAACGGCCUACCAAAGCAACGAUCAGUAGCCGGCCUGAGAGGGUGGACGGCCACAUUGGGACUGAGACACGGCCCAAACUCCUGCGGGAGGCAGCAGUGGGGGAUAUUGCACAAUGGGGGAAACCCUGAUGCAGCGACGCCGCGUGAGUGAAGAAGCAUUUCGGUGUGUAAAGCUCUAUCAGCAGGGAAGAAGAAUGACGGUACCUGACCAAGAAGCCCCGGCUAACUACGUG